UCGGCUCAGGAUGAACGCUAGCUACAGGCUUAACACAUGCAAGUCGAGGGGCAGCAUGAGAUUAGCUUGCUAAUCUUGAUGGCGACCGGCGCACGGGUGCGUAACACGUAUCCAAUCUACCCAUGGCUCGGGGAUAGCCUUUCGAAAGAAAGAUUAAUACCCGAUGGUCUGCGAUUGAGACAUCUCGAUUGCAGUAAAGACUUGUCGGCGAUGGAUGGGGAUGCGUCCGAUUAGCUAGUUGGCGGGGUAACGGCCCACCAAGGCGACGAUCGGUAGGGGUUCUGAGAGGAAGGUCCCCCACACUGGAACCGAGACACGGUCCAGACUCCUACGGGAGGCAGCAGUGAGGAAUAUUGGUCAAUGGGCGAUGGCCUGAACCAGCCAAGUAGCCGUGAGGGACGACGGCCCUAUGGGUUGUAAACCUCUUUUGUAUGGGAAUAAAGUGCGCCACGCGUGGCGUUUUGUAUGUACCUUACGAAUAAGCAUCGGCUAAUUCCGUGCCAGCCGCCGC
rnacentral:rRNA from 1 species